UCCAAGUUUCAAUCGUUUAUCUUCUGCUGAGCUGGACAGCCUGUGUUUAUCCCUGGCUCUGUGACUUACCAACCCCAUUACCUAGGACAAGUCGCUGUCUGUAAGUGUGUCCCUGGUGGAAGAUGCAGUAUUUCUGAUCCCUGGUGUGCACCCAGUGCAGCUGCACAGAUUUUUACCUCUCUUACCCUGGUUUGAAAUGUGAGCAGAAGGCUGAGGUCACUCACCACAAUGGCAAGGCAGGGACCUUGCUCUUUUUCUGAACAGCUUUUAGAUCUGAAACUCAUAGAUUGAAAGAGAGGCUGGCUUGCCAUAAAUGACCCCCAAGCAUCAUGGCAGUUGAGGAACGCGGUGAUUUUCUUGGUCUUUCUCCCAGAGGUGUACUUGGGUACCACAUACUGAAGAAAGUCGUCGAGCCACACCUUUUGAGGACUAUUGGAUGCAGGGCAAGCUAAUCUGAUACCUGCCCUCCUGAGUAGGGGCAGGUGGAGAUUAGAUGGUAAAUGCAGUCUUAGCAGGUCCAUCUUAUAGUGGGUCUACUAAGGCACAGACUCACCUGGUGGCAAUUUCCUGAAUUCCUGGAUGUACGAUGAGAAUUAACAAGCCUAGUAAAAUUAACGCUGACACCCUAGGCUUCCUAAAGACAGGACCAACUCUGGUACAACAGAUGCUCCAGAACUUCCUAUGGGAUUAGACUCCAGGUAGCCUUCAUGGCACCCCACUCUAGUACUCUUGCCUGGAAAAUCCCAUGGACAGAGGAGCCUGGUAGGCUGCAGUCCAU